UUGAUCCUGGCUCAGGACGAACGCUGGCGGCGUGCCUAAUACAUGCAAGUCGAACGAGCUUUUCCUACCGAGUGCUUGCACUCAUUUGGAAAGGCGAGUGGCGGACGGGUGAGUAACACGUGGGCAACCUACCCUAGAGCGGGGGAUAACAUUUGGAAACAGAUGCUAAUACCGCAUAACAAUUUGAACCUCAUGGUUCGAAUUUAAAAGAUGGUUUCGGCUAUCACUUUAGGAUGGGCCCGCGGCGUAUUAGCCAGUUGGUGGGGUAAAGGCCUACCAAAGCUAUGAUACGUAGCCGACCUGAGAGGGUGAUCGGCCACAUUGGGACUGAGACACGGCCCAAACUCCUACGGGAGGCAGCAGUAGGGAAUCUUCCACAAUGGACGAAAGUCUGAUGGAGCAACGCCGCGUGAGUGAAGAA
rnacentral:rRNA from 1 species